UCUAACUAACAAUCUGAAAUGAUGUGCAGGCUGCUGGAUUCACAGAAGAUGCUUGUUCGAGGUGUCACGGCGUCGGACGCAUAGGAGUAGGAGCCCGUGGAGCUCGACCUCAGCAUGAACGGCACCAUCCACCCCUGAUUCCACCCCGAGGGCUGGGCUGCUAGAUUUACUGAAGAUACUUGUUCGAGGUGUCACGGGGUAGUAAGUUGAUCCUCCUUUGGUUUGCUUGAGGGGUAGUAGCCCGCCUUCUCAUCGAUUGCCCGCUGGGAGAGGCGGUGGUGGUCACUGCUUCCUCCGUCCUGUUUGCACCGCCUCCUCCAACACUGCACCACUUGCUGUACGUACAGACCGCUAGAGAUUGACUGAAGAUGCUUGUUCGAGGUGUCAUGGGGUAAUUAGUUAAUCAUCCUCUGGGUUGCUUGAGGGGGACAAGCCCACCUUCUCCUCGAUUGUUUGCUGGGAGAAGCGGUGGUGGUCACUGCUUCCUGCGUCGUGUUUGCAUCGCCUCCACCAACAUUGCCACUUGUUGUACGUACAGCACCCCCGGUGAGCUUGGCCUUGUGGACGGGGACUAAAGCAGGAUAGCUCGUCACCGAGGGUGCUCGCGUGGCUGAUGGUGGCCGUGACGAGGGUGCUCAAGGUUGACGCCACAUCCACCCAAGACCUAGCCCGCCUUCUCCAGACCCGCGCACUGCGUGAUGAGGGGGCAGCCACUGCUUCCUCCACCAUGUUCCACUGACACCGUGCUGCUUGCUUGUUGUAUGUACAGAUGGGAUUGGGCCAACGUUACUAGUCCUCGGGCAACAAGGAAUAGCAGGUGUAAGCCAUCAGUCUUCUGUUUUCCAGAACAACAGUCUUGCCUUCGUAGUAUGAGCUCUGAACAGCAAGGCCCCAACCAAGCCCAUGAUGGCUAGACAGUACAGCAAUGCAUCAUCAUUGGACUAUGCUGCCAUUCUUAGUUCA